CAGCCGCCGCGGGAAUACGGAGGGUGCAAGCGUUAAUCGGAAUUACUGGGCGUAAAGCGCACGCAGGCGGUUUGUUAAGUCAGAUGUGAAAUCCCCGAGCUUAACUUGGGAACUGCAUUUGAAACUGGCAAGCUAGAGUCUUGUAGAGGGGGGUAGAAUUCCAGGUGUAGCGGUGAAAUGCGUAGAGAUCUGGAGGAAUACCGAUGGCGAAGGCAGCCAUCUGGCCUAAUACUGACGCUGAGGUACGAAAGCAUGGGGAGCAAACAGGAUUAGAGACCCCUGUAGUCCCUGUCUCUUAUAC
rnacentral:rRNA from 1 species